UGAAUUGACGGGGAGCACUACAACGGGUGGAGCCUGCGGUUUAAUUGGACUCAACGCCGGAAAACUCACCGGGGGCGACAGCAAUAUGUAGGUCAAGCUAAAGACUUUACCAGAAUCGCUGAGAGGAGGUGCAUGGCCGUCGUCAGUUCGUACUGUGAAGCAUCCUGUUAAGUCAGGCAACGAGCGAGACCCGUGCCCACUGUUGCCAGCAUGUCCUUCGGGACGAUGGGUACUCUGUGGGGACCGCCGAUGCUAAAUCGGAGGAAGGUGCGGGCUACGGUAGGUCAGUAUGCCCCGAAUCUCCCGGGCUACACGCGGGCUACAAUGACUGGGACAAUGGGCUCCUACCCCGAAAGGGGAUGGUAAUCUCAUAAACCCAGCCGUAGUUCGGAUCGAGGGCUGCAACCCGCCCUCGUGAAGCUGGAAUCCGUAGUAAUCGCGUUUCAACAUAGCGCGGUGAAUACGUCCCUGCUCCUU
rnacentral:rRNA from 1 species